AAGCUAGAGGAUGAAGAACUUGCAUCGUAUAUUCUUGCAGGUCUAGACGAGGAUUAUAAUCCCAUCGUCUCCUCUGUGUCAGCGCGCGUGGAGCCGUUGACCCUCGGCGAAUUGUACACCCAACUGAUAAGUUGGGA
rnacentral:snoRNA from 1 species